rnacentral:rRNA from 1 species
AGAGUUUGAUCCUGGCUCAGGAUGAACGCUGGUGGCGUGCCUAAUACAUGCAAGUCGAACGAGGACCCUUGUACUCGUACAGGGAAUUCCUAGUGGCGAACGGGUGAGUAACGCGUUGGUGACCUGCCCCGAAGAGAGGGACAACAGUUCGAAAGGACUGCUAAUACCUCAUGUGGCCGUAAGGGUUAAAGGCCUUACGACUAAAGGAUUUAUCCGCUUCGGGAGGGGCCUGCGUCCCAUCAGCUUGUUGGUAGGGUAAUGGCCUACCAAGGCGAAGACGGGUAGGGGACCUGAGAGGGUGACCCCCCACACUGGAACUGAAACACGGUCCAGACACCUACGGGUGGCAGCAGUAGGGAAUAUUGCGCAAUGGGCGAAAGCCUGACGCAGCAACGCCGCGUGCACGAUGAAGGUCUUCGGAUCGUAAAGUGCUUUUAUGAGGGAAGAGAAAGGACUGUACCUCAUGAAUAAGGAUCGGCUAACUACGUGCCAGCAGCCGCGGUAACACGUAGGAUCCAAGCGUUAUCCGGAUUUACUGGGCGUAAA